rnacentral:lncRNA from 1 species
UGAAUUCCAGAGGGCUCCAUUACCAUAUUGUUUAAGGUCUUUGUCCUACACAUCUUUAAGGAUGAAGAACUUACAAUAAGAAUAAUGUGGGGAGCGGGCGUUGUGGCAUAGUGGGUUAAGCCGUCAUUUGGAGCUGGCAUCUUCUAUCAGAGUGCUGGUUCAAGUUCAAGCUGCUCUGCUUGCAAUCCAGCUUCUUGCUAAUGCACCUGGGAAGGGGGCAGAUGAGGGCUCCUGCCACCCCAUGGGAGACCAGGAUGGAGUUCCUGGCUCCUGGCUUUGGCUUGGCCCAGCCUUGUCUAUUGUGGCUGUUUGGGGAGCGAACCAGCAAAUGGAAGAUCUCUCUGUUGUUCUAACUUUUGAACAAAUAAAUAAAUAAAUCUUACAAAAAAUAAAAGCACAACAUAUGUGGCAGGGCAUUCCUUUGUGAGCAGCUGUCACGUGGGUGAUUCAGAGCCUCAGUCCUCAGUAUCUUCCUCCUUGAAAUGGGAAUAAUGACAACAUCUGCCUACUUGGGUUGUUGUGGUUUAAAGAGUUAAUGUCUAGAAAGUUCUUGGCACGGUGCCGGUUUCACUGUAGACGCUGCGUGAUUGCUUGUGUGCUUACCUAUCCUUUCCUCCUUGGAAUCCCUUUUAUGCUUUUCUCUUCCAUUCACCCGCUGGAGUCUCGUCCUUGAUCACUGACCCAAGGAGGGGAUGUGACCCCAAAGAUCAGAGGCAAGAAAGCGCUCCUUGCGGCUGUUGAGUUUCAGAAGACAGAAACAAGGCGGAGAUCAUGGAUACUCCACCUGCCACCCCGGCUGGAAACAUCGCAUUUUAGAUCAAGAGGAAAGCAAACGGGGUUGGGAAGUUAUGAGAACUUAGAUGCCAGUAGGCCCCUGAGAAAGGGGCCCAGGAGCCUGGUUCCCAUGUCAGUGUUAGGGACACAGAAGCCAAAACCAACCAACCCCAAAUUGUCAAUCACAAAACAAGAAAAACAACCAAACAAAAAACUCCACAGUAACUUCCUAGCAGCUGAGAACAGAGUGAAUCCAUGUCCUGUCUCUUUAAGAUUCUGGGAUACGAUACUAAUGACUGUCCAUUGUCACUUGGCAGGUGCAGCCUCAAUCCAGCCUAAAUUGUCCUCCAAGACCUGUCUGGGCCCCAGCAUGGUUUCUUGGCCCCCACCAGUGGCAGACAGAGGAUGGGAAUGCAAGCAUCUGGGGACCCAUGACAAAUGGAUCUACCAUAUGACCCGGCUAUCCCACUUCUAGGAAUACAGCUAAAGGAAGUGAAAUCAGCAUAUGAAAGGGAUAUCGUCACUUCCAUGUGUAUAGCAGCUCGAUUCAUAAUAAUGAAGAUAUGGAAUCAAUCUAGAGGACCAUCAACUUAUGACUGAAUACAGAAAAUGUUACUUAUGUACAUUUAUCUUCCAGAUUAAAUUCUAUUGCCUUGAACUUCAACUACCGGGCUCAUUGUCUUACCCAUGUGUUCCAGUAGCCACCAGGACUCCCCACUGUUUGCAGCUUCCAUAAUGCAUAGUAAUUGCUUAUCCCGAUACACUAUACAUGCUUUGAAGGCAGGUUCACCUAGUUCAUCAUUUUAAUUCCAGUGCCUAACAUAUAAUAGACAUAUCAGGGGCCAGUGUUGUAGCACAGUGGGUUAAGUCCCUGCCUGCAACACCAGAAUUACAGAGAGAGAGAGAGAGAAAGAGAUAUCAAGUGCUCAUAUGGGAUGCCUGUGCAGCAGGUGGCAGCUUAACCCACUGUACCACGACACUGGCAGGCUCACUGUUAAUUUUCUAAUCAAUAAAAGUGAGUCCUCUUUUUGGUCUUUAGCUCCC